AUUGAACGCUGGCGGAAUGCUUUACACAUGCAAGUCGAACGAUGAACCUUAGCUUGCUAAGGGGAUUAGUGGCGAACGGGUGAGUAAUGUAUCGGAACGUAUCCAAUAAUGGGGGAUAACUAGUCGAAAGAUUAGCUAAUACCGCAUACGUCCUACGGGAGAAAGCUAGGGACCUUCGGGCCUGGCGUUAAUGGAGCGGCCGAUAUCUGAUUAGCUAGUCGGUGGGGUAAAGGCUCACCAAGGCGACGAUCAGUAGCUGGUCAGAGAGGACGACCAGCCACACUGGAACUGAGACACGGUCCAGACUCCUACGGGAGGCAGCAGUGGGGAAUUUUGGACAAUGGGCGAAAGCCUGAUCCAGCCAUUCCGCGUGAGUGAAGAAGGCCUUCGGGUUGUAAAGCUCUUUCGCAAGGGAAGAAAACUUAAGCUCUAACAUAGCUUGAGGUUGACGGUACCUUGAUAAGAAGCACCGGCUAACUACGUGCCAGCCGCCGCGGUAA
rnacentral:rRNA from 1 species